CAGAGAAAAACACAGGCAAACUGCAGGCCAACCUUGGGGAGAUAGUUUCUUUAGAGAUGCCCUCUACUGAGCGCCCCUGAUAUCCAAGGAACAUAGAAGGCAGUCCCCAAAUGAAGAGCAAUUGUAUUCCUUUAAUUCAGUCAUAAAUCAACUCUCAAUUCUAUGAGAUUUUUCACAGAAGAACGGAGCGCCUCAAAAGUAGAUCAAGGCAGAAAUGGAUGUGGAAAUUAUCAUCCUGUACCUUUGAGGUAAAGAGGCUUCUACAGCUCUGGCAUGAGCUACCACAGGUCAUAACCAUUAGGAGAGAAACUGGAAUGUUACCAUGCCAAGCUUUGUGAAUAAACUAAAGUUUUGCUGGUGGUGGCACAGGAAAAAAAUGAAGAAACCAAGAGGACUUGAACCAAGUGGGUAUGACUCCAAAGCCCAUGCUUUAAAUGAACAAAUUGGCCUACCCUGUAAGGCAAGAACCCUUUAAUAGUGGUCUAUGUCAGAAAAAUAUCAAAAAGACUCAAGGUUCUUAAAUAAAUAAGGAAAUG
rnacentral:antisense_RNA from 1 species